GAUUUAAAAAAUUUGAUCACUGUAUCCAAAACAAGAUGUUAAGGAGCAAAAAAGAAUUGGAAAAGUUUAAGUUUACUUUCCCGGCAAUAUGGUAUACAGAAACAGUGUUCAUGAAGUGGAACAAUUCAAGAACACGCAACUUAUUUAUUCUUCAGCAACAAACCAAUGCCUUGAAGAAAAGGAGUUAAAAUAUUCCUUGCACAUCGAAUAAAAAAGUUAAAAAGACAUUCCUUCCAUGAAAGUUCUAAGAAACUUAAUUGUCAUCGA
rnacentral:misc_RNA from 1 species